rnacentral:rRNA from 1 species
AUUGAACGCUGGCGGCAUGCCUUACACAUGCAAGUCGAACGGCAGCACGGGUGCUUGCACCUGGUGGCGAGUGGCGAACGGGUGAGUAAUACAUCGGAACAUGUCCUGUAGUGGGGGAUAGCCCGGCGAAAGCCGGAUUAAUACCGCAUACGAUCUACGGAUGAAAGCGGGGGACCUUCGGGCCUCGCGCUAUAGGGUUGGCCGAUAGCUGAUUAGCUAGUUGGUGGGGUAAAGGCCUACCAAGGCGACGAUCAGUAGCUGGUCUGAGAGGACGACCAGCCACACUGGGACUGAGACACGGCCCAGACUCCUACGGGAGGCAGCAGUGGGGAAUUUUGGACAAUGGGCGAAAGCCUGAUCCAGCAAUGCCGCGUGUGCGAAGAAGGCCUUCGGGUUGUAAAGCACUUUUGUCCGGAAAGAAAUCCUUGGCUCUAAUACAGUCGGGGGAUGACGGUACCGGAAGAAUAAGCACCGGCUAACUACGUG